rnacentral:rRNA from 1 species
GGGAAACCCCCUCGCCGAAAGACUAAGGUUUCCUGAUCAACGCUAAUCGGAUCAGGGUCAGUCGGGUCCUAAGGCUCAGCCGAACGGCGAUGCCGAUGGCAGAAACGGUUAAUAUUCCGUUACUACCUUCAGGAGUGACGUGGAGACGCAGUAGUGACAGUGCCGCCAUCUGACGGAAUAGAUGGUUGAAGGGUGUAGGAGUCGAUCAUGGCAGGCAAAUCCACCAUGAGAUCCGAACCUGAUAGUAUGCCGCGUCCUUCGGGACAAGGCAAUAGUGCGCGUAAGCAUGCUGCCGAGAAAAUCCGCUAAACUUAAUCCUGCAGGUACCCGUACCGCAAACGGACACACGUAGUCGGGUUGAAUAUACUAAGGCGCUUGAGUGAUUCACGGUUAAGGAACUAGGCAAACUGACCCUGUAACUUCGGGAUAAAGGGUCCCUACCCUUUUAUGGGAGGGCGCAGAGAAUCGGUCCAGGCAACUGUUUAACAAAAACACAGGGCUGUGCCAAAUCGAAAGAUCCAGUAUACAGCCUGACACCUGCCCGGUGCUGGAAGGUUAAGAGGAGAUGUCAUCGAUAAGAGAAGCGUUGAAUUGAAGCCCCAGUAAACGGCGGCCGUAACUAUAACGGUCCUAAGGUAGCGAAAUUCCUUGUCGGGUAAGUUCCGACCUGCACGAAUGGUGUAAUGAUCUGGACGCUGUCUCAACCGUGAGCUCAGUGAAAUUGUAGUAUCGGUGAAGAUGCCGAUUACCCGCGAUGGGACGAAAAGACCCCGUGAACCUUUACUAUAGCUUAUCAUUGAAUCUGGGCACGUGAUGUGUAGGAUAGGUCGGAGGCUUUGAAGCAGGUACGCCAGUAUUUGUGGAGCCGCUGUUGAAAUACGACCCUUUAUUUGUUUGGAUUCUAACCCGUGGAACGGGGACAUUGAUUGGUGGGUAGUUUGACUGGGGUGGUCGCCUCCAAAAGCGUAACGGAGGCUUCUAAAGGUGCCCUCCGGCCGAUUGGUAACCGGCCUUAGAGUGUAAUGGCAUAAGGGCGCUUGACUGGGAGACUGACAAGUCGAUCAGGUAGGAAACUAGAGCAUAGUGAUCCGGUGUUUCCGUAUGGAAGGGACAUCGCUCAAAGGAUAAAAGGUACUCCGGGGAUAACAGGCUGAUCCCUCCCAAGAGCUCAUAUCGACGGAGGGGUUUGGCACCUCGAUGUCGGCUCGUCACAUCCUGGGGCUGGAGAAGGUCCCAAG